AUGUCCUACCAGCCUCAACAUCAUUCCAAAUGUACUAAUCCCAGUGCAUUUGUGAUAUCACAGGGAUGGUCUAUCCAUUCUGCCCUGUGUCCUCAGCAGGGGUUUAGUGCCAUGAAGGGAUGAGCAGGCCCAGGAAUUUCUGUCCACUGUUUACACAAAGAAAUCUGAGCACUGUAACCUGGAAAAUCUGCAGUGAUCCCAGCAGGAACCAGGAUUCCACUUGUACUGGUUUAAUGGAAUAGAAAUGGAUGAAUGCACUGGCAGUGCCCAGCCAGAAGCCAGCAGCAAAAGAACCCAGGUGAAGCCAUGGAUUGGUAUGAACCACCCCCACCCCAAGCACACAGCAGGGAAGAAAAGAGAGGAAGGUGAGUGGAAGUGAGGGCCAGUGGAGAAAAACUAACACGCUGGGUAGUCGACGUUCCCUCUGGUGUGACCCCAAGCUACCUUCCAGAUUCACCCCCCGCAUCCUCUGUCUCCACUCUGCAGGGAACCACUUGGCUCCUCUGAACUACAUUUCCCCAUAUCCCCUUUCAUGUGUGUUUCUCGUUAGGAUUGGCCACAAGAAGAUUCCUGGGAAAUUCUGGAGGGCAGAAGGGGGCAUGUUGAGAUAUUAAUCCAGUGCAGGUUUUGCACAUUGAAGAUGUCUUCCCAUAGAUGUUUUUUGGCCUUAGCUUGAGCAAUCACUAGCUGGGAAUGCCCUCCUCAAAGUGCUCCCAGCAGUCUGGCCAUGGCUCCAGCAAGCAGCAUUGUGGAGUGAGACCUCCCAGUGUGGUUUUGAGGACUGCAUGAGCUAAGGUGUGGAGCACCAGGCCGCUGCCCUGCAGGUGCUCAUUAUUUAUUAUCAAAGGUUU
rnacentral:lncRNA from 1 species